GAACGCACCUUGCGCCCUUUGGCUAUUCCGAAGGGCAUGCCUGUUUGAGUAUCAUGAACACCUCAACUCUCGUGGUUUGCGCCACGAUGAGCUUGGACUUUGGGGGUCUUGCUGGCCUGUGGUCGGCUCCUCUCAAAUGAAUCAGCUUCCCAGUGUUUGGUGGCGUCGCAGGUGUGAUAACUAUCUACGCUUGUGGUUUUCCACCAGAUAACCUUCAGUGAUGGAGGUUCGCUGGGGCUCAUAAACGUCUUUCCUCAGUGAAGACAGCUUUUUGAACGUUUGAUCUCAAAUCAGGUAGGACUACCCGCUGAACUUAAG
rnacentral:misc_RNA from 1 species